AUUGAACGCUGGCGGCAGGCCUAACACAUGCAAGUCGAGCGGAUGAAGGGAGCUUGCUCCUGGAUUCAGCGGCGGACGGGUGAGUAAUGCCUAGGAAUCUGCCUGGUAGUGUGGGAUAACGUCCGGAAACGGGCGCUAAUACCGCAUACGUCCUGAGGGAGAAAGUGGGGGAUCUUCGGACCUCACGCUAUCAGAUGAGCCUAGGUCGGAUUAGCUAGUUGGUGGGGUAAAGGCCUACCAAGGCGACGAUCCGUAACUGGUCUGAGAGGAUGAUCAGUCACACUGGAACUGAGACACGGUCCAGACUCCUACGGGAGGCAGCAGUGGGGAAUAUUGGACAAAGGGCGAAAGCCUGAUCCAGCCAUGCCGCGUGUGUGAAGAAGGUCUUCGGAUUGUAAAGCACUUUAAGUUGGGAGGAAGGGCAGUAAGUUAAUACCUUGCUGUUUUGACGUUACCAACAGAAUAAGCACCGGCUAACUUCGUG
rnacentral:rRNA from 1 species